rnacentral:rRNA from 2 species
CCAGUCUGCAUGGAGCCGACCUUGAAAUACCACCCUUUAAUGUUUGAUGUUCUAACGUGGACCCGUAAUCCGGGUUGCGGACAGUGUCUGGUGGGUAGUUUGACUGGGGCGGUCUCCUCCUAAAGAGUAACGGAGGAGCACGAAGGUUGGCUAAUCCUGGUCGGACAUCAGGAGGUUAGUGCAAUGGCAUAAGCCAGCUUGACUGCGAGCGUGACGGCGCGAGCAGGUGCGAAAGCAGGUCAUAGUGAUCCGGUGGUUCUGAAUGGAAGGGCCAUCGCUCAACGGAUAAAAGGUACUCCGGGGAUAACAGGCUGAUACCGCCCAAGAGUUCAUAUCGACGGCGGUGUUUGGCACCUCGAUGUCGGCUCAUCACAUCCUGGGGCUGAAGUAGGUCCCAAGGGUAUGGCUGUUCGCCAUUUAAAGUGGUACGCGAGCUGGGUUUAGAACGUCGUGAGACAGUUCGGUCCCUAUCUGCCGUGGGCGCUGGAGAACUGAGGGGGGCUGCUCCUAGUACGAGAGGACCGGAGUGGACGCAUCACUGGUGUUCGGGUUGUCAUGCCAAUGGCACUGCCCGGUAGCUAAAUGCGGAAGAGAUAAGUGCUGAAAGCAUCUAAGCACGAAACUUGCCCCGA